UGGGGAAUCUUCCGCAAUGGACGAAAGUCUGACGGAGCAACGCCGCGUGAGUGAUGACGGUCUUCGGAUUGUAAAGCUCUGUUAAUCGGGACGAAUGGUUUAUGUGCAAAUAGUGCAUAGACAUGACGGUACCGGAAUAGAAAGCCACGGCUAACUACGUGCCAGCAGCCGCGGUAAUACGUAGGUGGCAAGCGUUGUCCGGAAUUAUUGGGCGUAAAGCGCGCGCAGGCGGACUAGCCAGUCAGUCUUAAAAGUUCGGGGCUUAACCCCGUGAUGGGAUUGAAACUACUAGUCUAGAGUAUCGGAGAGGAAAGUGGAAUUCCUAGUGUGGCGGUGGAAUGCGUAGAUAUUAGGAAGAACAACAGUGGCGAAGGCGACUUUCUGGACGAACACUGACGCUGAGGCGCGAAAGCCAGGGGAGCGAACGGG
rnacentral:rRNA from 1 species